AUGGCGCCAGCAGCGACCCCGUGCUCCCCGCGUCUCCUGCUCGCCUCGUCUGCGUCUCCGCCUCCGCUCUUCCGCGUCGCGGCCCGCCCCCUGCUGCUCGGUAGCCGCGGCGGGGGCGUGCGCCUUCGGGUUCGAUGCGGAGCGGCGGACGAGGAGGCCGAGGUUCGGCGUGGGGAGCAGGUGAAGGCGUCUGUGGAGGAGAUGGCGCCCGGCCUCGACCUUGUCACACUCGCGGCCUGCCUCGUGGGCCUCCUCACUGGCGUCUCCGUUGUCCUCUUCAAUCUUUCGGUUCAUGAAAUACGUGACCUGCUUUGGGAUGGCAUACCACUGCGAGGCGCUUCGUGGCUGAGGGAAGAACCCACCGCUGAAAUUUGGCAGAGAGUGAUAUUUGUUCCCGUCAGUGGAGGCAUCAUAGUUGGAGGGCUGAAUACGCUAAGAAGUUCUAUCAAAACAAACUCAGAUGGCUCUGUUUCUAAUAUGAAAGGUGUGUUUAGGCCAUUCUUGAAAGCUGCGGCGGCAUCUUUCACUCUCGGAACUGGCAACUCUCUGGGGCCUGAGGGACCCAGUGUGGAAAUAGGUUCUGCUAUAGCGAAAGGAUUUGGAAAUGUGUUUGGGUGGGAAGGCGGAAAAAAGCUGUCUCUUGUGGCAGCUGGGUCAGCAGCUGGCAUUGCAUCUGGUUUUAAUGCUGCUGUUGCUGGGUGUUUUUUUGCGGUGGAGUCUGUUUUGUGGCCUUCAUCUGGCGAUUCUUCAUCCCUUUCCAACUCAACACCUAUGGUGAUCCUCAGUGCAGUGAUAGCGUCUGUUGUUUCAGAGAUUGGUCUUGGUUCUGAUCCUGCUUUCACUGUUCCAGAAUAUGAUUUUCGCUCCCCAACAGAACUUCCUCUAUAUCUCUUGCUGGGCGUGUUCUGUGGAGCGGUGUCAAUCACCCUAUCUAGGUGUACAGCAGUAACUAUGGACAUGGUUGAACGCUUACAAAAGACAACAGGAUUGCCGAUGGCUGUAUCCCCUGCCUUAGGUGGCCUUAUUGUUGGUCUUCUCGCUCUUGUAUACCCUGAAGUUCUGUAUUGGGGCUUUGAGAAUGUUGAUAUUUUACUGGAAUCGCGGCCAUUUACAAGUGGUCUCUCAGCAGCAGUGUUGGUUCAGCUCAUUGGAGUAAAAAUAUUGGCGACGUCUUUGUGCAGGGCUUUUGGAUUGGUUGGAGGUUAUUAUGCACCAUCCCUUUUUAUUGGUGCAGCUACAGGCAUGGCAUAUGGCAAGUUCAUGAGGUUUACAUUUACUGGCUCUGAAGCACCGUUUCAUGUCCCCUUCCUAGACGUAGCGUCACCUCAAGCAUAUGGUCUGGUUGGUAUGGCAGCUACACUUGCCGGUGUAUGCAAGGUGCCUCUGACAUCUGUCCUCCUACUGUUUGAACUAACGCAGGACUAUCGUAUAGUUCUGCCUUUGCUUGGUGCUGUUGGACUAUCAUCUUGGAUUGCUUCUUCUCAAAGGUUCUCUACCAGCGGUAAGGGUAAGCUGGAUUCAUUGGAGGAGAAAACAAGCACCAUUGAAGAGGCGAAAAAUGUGCCCACUCAAACCCAACAACUCACUUCUGUGGAUAGUGUUGAUGCUACUGCAGAAUUAUGUAAACUAGAAAGCUCGCUUUGUGUCUAUGAUGUCAAAGAUGAUAACGUGCUGGAAAAUCUUACUGUUGCAGAGAGUAUGAAAACUAGAUAUAUUUCUGUCUCAUUGAAAACUCCAGUAGUUGAGGCACUAAAUCUUAUGCUUGUGGAGAAGCAACCAUUUGUUAUGAUAACUGAGAGCAAUAAGUCUUUAUUAGGCUUGCUAACAGUCAAAGAUUUCCAGGAUUUCUGCAAAACUGUAAAAAGUACCAGGAUGCAACCUGAGGUAGAUGAAUGUCUGGUAUCUCAUGUUUGUGGAGUCGUUAGAUGUAAAAUAUGGUCUGUGACACCUCAUAUGCCACUUACUACUGCUGAAAAGAUUAUGGAUUCUCAUGGAAUGGACCAGGUUCCUGUAGUUUCAGAACAUGUUAAUCAUCAGGAUGGAGGAAUCUUGAUUGGUUUUGUAGAUAGAGAAUGCAUCACCAUUGCUCGAAGAGCUUUGGCAGCAAAAGAAUUUUUCAGUUUCACAUCGGAGAUCAGAAGGGAAGAGAGUUGA
rnacentral:rRNA from 1 species